UGGCAGCAUACCUGUUUUUCCUUGCAGGGAAAUAACAGACAUGUUGAACAGGUGACCAAUCAACAUUAUACCAAUCUCCUCGUCAGUACUGCUAUACUAUCCAGUUUCUCGUUCAGGAGAAAAUAUCCUCUUACAUAAAUUGGGCGGUGAGGAUUGAAACUGUGACAUAUUUUGCCAAAUAUGGACGAGGCUACCUCCCUAGCCUUCUUCCUCUUUUGGAAAUUGAACUUGUUCUUCUGGUACAGAGAGUUAUCCCAUUGACGUUGCAUGCAAUGUGGUCCUCAUCCCUCUGCAUAUAUAGUCAUAGACAGGAUCAUCGUCAGAGGACAUUUGAUAUCAAAUUCGGCACACAAAUUUUACAUAGCAUUUAGUUAUUGUCUCAAAAUAGAAAAAUAAAGAUAAUAAAAUAAAAAUAUAUUUGAGAGAAGAGAUAAAAAUAUGUUCUUUUGAUAAUUUUGGAGUGAUUUUGUAUAAUUUCAAAACAAGAUAUGUAGAGGA